GGGGGAUAACGUUCGGAAACGGACGCUAAUACCGCAUACGUCCUACGGGAGAAAGCAGGGGACCUUCGGGCCUUGCGCUAUCAGAUGAGCCUAGGUCGGAUUAGCUAGUUGGUGAGGUAAUGGCUCACCAAGGCUACGAUCCGUAACUGGUCUGAGAGGAUGAUCAGUCACACUGGAACUGAGACACGGUCCAGACUCCUACGGGAGGCAGCAGUGGGAAAUAUUGGACAAUGGGCGAAAGCCUGAUCCAGCCAUGCCGCGUGUGUGAAGAAGGUCUUCGGAUUGUAAAGCACUUUAAGUUGGGAGGAAGGGUUGUAGAUUAAUACUCUGCAAUUUUGACGUUACCGACAGAAUAAGCACCGGCUAACUCUGUGCCAGCAGCCGCGGUAAUACAGAGGGUGCAAGCGUUAAUCGGAAUUACUGGGCGUAAAGCGCGCGUAGGUGGUUUGUUAAGUUGGAUGUGAAAUCCCCGGGCUCAACCUGGGAACUGCAUUCAAAACUGACUGACUAGAGUAUGGUAGAGGGUGGUGGAAUUUCCUGUGUAGCGGUGAAAUGCGUAGAUAUAGGAAGGAACACCAGUGGCGAAGGCGACCACCUGGACUAAUACUGACACUGAGGUGCGAAAGCGUGGCGAGCAAACAGGAUUAGAUACCCUGGUAGUCCACGCCGUAAACGAUGUCAACUAGCCGUUGGAAGCCUUGAGCUUUUAGUGGCGCAGCUAACGCAUUAAGUUGACCGCCUGGGGAGUACGGCCGCAAGGUUAAAACUCAAAUGAAUUGACGG
rnacentral:rRNA from 1 species